rnacentral:rRNA from 1 species
AUUGAACGCUGGCGGCAGGCCUAACACAUGCAAGUCGAACGAGUGGCGGACGGGUGAGUAAUGUCUGGGAAACUGCCCGAUGGAGGGGGAUAACUACUGGAAAAGGUAGCUAAUACCGCAUAACAUGGGAUGUGCCCACAUGGGAUUAGCUAGUAGGUGGGGUAACGGCUCACCAAGGCGACGAUCCCUAGCCGGUCUGAGAGGAUGAUCGGCCACACUGGGACUGAGACACGGUCCAGACUCCUACGGGAGGCAGCAGUGGGGAAUAUUGCGCAAUGGACGCAAGCCUGAGCGAGCAACGCCGCGUGUAUGAAGAAGGCCUUCGGGUUGUAAAGUACUGUCGGCGGGGAAGCGUUACCCACAGAAGAAGCACCGGCUAACUCCGUGCCAGCAGCCGCGGUAAUUC